rnacentral:rRNA from 1 species
AACGAACGCUAGCGGCAGGCCUAACACAUGCAAGUCGAGGGGUAACUAGAGUGAUAGCAAUAUUACUUUGGCUAGACCGGCGCACGGGUGCGUAACACGUAUGCAACCUACCUUAUACUGGGGAAUAACUUCGAGAAAUCGGCGCUAAUACCCCAUAACAUUGCGAAGAGGCAUCUCUUUGCAAUUAAAGCUCCGGCGGUAUAAGAUGGGCAUGCGUCCAAUUAGCCAGUUGGUGAGGUAACGGCUCACCAAGGCUACGAUUGGUAGGGGUUCUGAGAGGAUGAUCCCCCACAGUGGUACUGCGACACGGACCAGACUCCUACGGGAGGCAGCAGGGAGGAAUAUUGCGCAAUGGACGAAAGUCUGACGCAGCCAUGCCGCGUUCAGGAUGACGGCCCUAUGGGUUGUAAACUGCUUUUGUACGGGAAUAAACCCUUCUACGUGUAGGAGGCUGAAGGUACCGUAAGAAUAAGCACCGGCUAACUCCGUGCCAGCCGCCGCGGUAAAAC